GACGAACGCUGGCGGCGUGCCUAAUACAUGCAAGUCGAACGAACCGCGACUAGGUGCUUGCACUUGGUCAAGGUGAGUGGCGAACGGGUGAGUAACACGUGGGUAACCUACCUCAUAGUGGGGGAUAACAGUCGGAAACGACUGCUAAUACCGCAUAGGACAUAGGAUCACAUGAUUCUGUGAGGAAAGGUGGCGCAAGCUAUCGCUAAGAGAUGGACCCGCGGUGCAUUAGCUAGUUGGUAGGGUAAAGGCCUACCAAGGCGAUGAUGCAUAGCCGACCUGAGAGGGUGAUCGGCCACAGUGGGACUGAGACACGGCCCAAACUCCUACGGGAGGCAGCAGUAGGGAAUCUUCCGCAAUGGACGCAAGUCUGACGGAGCAACGCCGCGUGAGUGAAGAAGGUCUUCGGAUCGUAAAGCUCUGUUGUUAGAGAAGAACAGCGCAUGGAGUAACUGUUAUGCGUGUGACGGUAUCUAACCAGAAAGCCACGGCUAACUACGUG
rnacentral:rRNA from 1 species